rnacentral:rRNA from 1 species
UACAGAGGGUGCAAGCGUUGUUCGGAAUUAUUGGGCGUAAAGCGCGUGUAGGCGGCAGUGCAAGUCGCGUGUGAAAAGCCCCUCGGCUCAACCGAGGAAGUGCGCGCGAAACUGCAUUGCUUGAGUACCGGAGAGGAUGGCGGAAUUCCCGAAGUAGAGGUGAAAUGCGCAGAUAUCAGGAGGAACACCAGUGGCGAAGGCGCCGCUCUGGGCCGAGACUGACGCUGAGGAGCGAAAGCGUGGGUAGCAAACAGG